GCCUGAUCGGUCCGGUCUGGAACGGACGUCCCCCUGUCACGGGGAAGACCACGGGUUCAAGUCCCGUAUCAGGCG
rnacentral:tRNA from 1 species